rnacentral:piRNA from 1 species
UGGGAAGCAAGUAAAACCAUCCCCUUCU